rnacentral:ncRNA from 1 species
UAUCUUCAGGGCGAGGUGAAAAUCCUCACCGGCGGUAAAGUCCGCGAGGAAGCUUUGGCUUUUUGAAUCGGUGAAACUCCGAUACCGACAGUAUAGUCUGGAUGAGAGAAGAU